rnacentral:rRNA from 1 species
GAUGAACGCUAGCGGGAGGCCUAACACAUGCAAGCCGAGCGGUAGAGUUUCUUCGGAAACUUGAGAGCGGCGCACGGGUGCGUAACACGUUUGCAACCUACCUUUAUCUGGGGGAUAGCCUUUCGAAAGGAAGAUUAAUACCCCAUAAUAUAAUGAUUGGCAUCAAUUAUUAUUGAAAACUCCGGUGGAUAGAGAUGGGCACGCGCAAGAUUAGAUAGUUGGUGAGGUAACGGCUCACCAAGUCAAUGAUCUUUAGGGGUCCUGAGAGGGAGAUCCCCCACACUGGUACUGAGACACGGACCAGACUCCUACGGGAGGCAGCAGUGAGGAAUAUUGGACAAUGGGUGAGAGCCUGAUCCAGCCAUCCCGCGUGAAGGAUGACGGUCCUAUGGAUUGUAAACUUCUUUUGUACAGGGAUAAACCUACCCUCGUGAGGGUAGCUGAAGGUACUGUACGAAUAAGCACCGGCUAACUCCGUG